GGGGAAUAUUGGGCAAUGGGCGAAAGCCUGACCCAGCCACGCCGCGUGAGUGAUGAAGGCCUUCGGGUCGUAAAGCUCUGUGGGGAGGGACGAACAAGCACCGUGUUAACACCACGGGGCCCUGACGGUACCUCCUUAGCAAGCACCGGCCAACCCUGUGCCAGCAGCCGCGGUAAUACAGGGGGUGCAAACGUUGCUCGGAAUCAUUGGGCGUAAAGCGCACGUAGGCGGUUCGUUAUGUCGGAUGUGAAAGCCCUUGGCUUAACCGAGGAAGUGCAUCCGAAACUGGCGAGCUAGAGUACGAAAGAGGAUCGCGGAAUUCCCGGUGUAGAGGUGAAAUUCGUAGAUAUCGGGAGGAACACCGGUGGCGAAGGCGGCGAUCUGGGUCGAUACUGACGCUGAGGUGCGAAAGCGUGGGGAGCAAAC
rnacentral:rRNA from 1 species